rnacentral:rRNA from 1 species
GUGAACCUGCGGAAGGAUUCAUUA